UUACUAGAUAUAUUAUGUAUUUUUCUUCACGAAAGGUAGUGAGUUAAAUAUAAUUAAUGAUAGUUAUUACUUGUUACGUAGCAAAGUAACAUGAUAAUUCUAUUUAGGAGUGAUAGGCUUGCCAAGCUGCUUGAUAACUUGUUGUGUAAGAAAUAUAUUAAGUAUUAAGCCAUACUAUUAAAGUUAAGCUUUGUAGUUAAUAUUAACAGUAAAAACUAUCUUAAGCUACAGCUUAACCGCUAAGCUAUUAAGGAUAAAAAUAUAAAUAAUGUGGGUUUAUAUUAUUUAUUACACUAUAAUUUUUACUUAUAAUAUAAAUAAUGUAAGUAUGAGUAAUACGUUAAAUACAGUAAAGGAACUCGGCAAAGCUGCUGCUCAACUGUUUAUCAAAAACAUAACUAUAUGUAAUAAUAUAUAGCUUUUCUGCUCAAUGGUUUACUAAAUAGCCGCAGUACUCUGACUGUGCAAAGGUAGCAUAAUCAGUUGGCUUUUAAUUAAAGUCUGGAAUGAACGAAUGCAUGGGUGGCGACUGUCUACUAUUGUAUUAUAUUGAAUUUAGUAAGCAAGUGAAAAUACUUGCAAGUUAAAAAAAGACGAGAAGACCCUAGAAACUUACCUAAUUGUUUUGUUGGGGCGACAGAAUUACAAAAAACUAAUUUUACUCUACAUGACGCACACAGAUAGACCAAGUUACUCUAGGGAUAACAGCAUAAUUUUUACAGUUUGUGACCUCGAUGUUGGACUAGGUAAAUAAUUUUUUAGAAGAAAAUUUAACCGCUCUGUUCGAGCAACGAAACCUACAUGAUCUGAGUU
rnacentral:rRNA from 1 species